UUUCUGAAAUACAAUGUUUAUUCACAAUGAGAUGACCUGACAGCGAGAUUUAAAACAUAGAAUUCAUACAUUCAAUAUAAAACGAUGUAAAUAAAUAACACCAAAUAAAGUUUUGGCUGCCGAACUUCCACUAAGACUUCUCGUUCUCAUCGUCUCUGGUAAACGAUUUAAAAAAUCUUUCAAUCAAUUCAAUUACUUUCAAGACGUCACCGUAUAAGUUCAGUCACAAUGGCUUUCAAGUUUCAUGAUAAACAAUAUAAUGAUAAUGAACAAUGAAUAGUUUCGAUGUGACACGAAAUAAUGACAAUAAUAAUAAGGCGAAAGUCUUCAAGUUCGAAGAUUAAGAAAGAAUCGCAGGAUUUCGAUGGCUAUGGACUGAGAUGUGACCUACAUAUUUUGGUACAUCUAAUGCAUGGUCUGCUCGAGCAAUCAAGUUCGCUUUUGUCCAUCUUUGCCUGUCUUCGGCGGUAGCUUUACUUUUGGUCUAUAAUAAGUGUUCCUCAACCAUUGUAAUAUCUUCAGAUGUCUCUUUCAGAGAGUGCAAGCUGAUACUAUUACUGGUGUCCAGAAGACUUUCAGGGAUGAGGUGACAUCUUGGUUAAGCAGAAACAGUAAAAAUAAAUGUCUUUGGCAUACGAUCCUUCCCAACAUGGGAUAGGUCUCCUUCCAAGCGCGAUUGUAUAACUGUAAGACGGGCUUCCAAAAGCACCUGGGUUCCACCAUGAGCAUAAGAUGACAAGUCUACGCUACAAAUAAAGUUGUUCUCCUGAAUGCCGGUGUGGAAGUAUUGAUCUUAAUAAAAACAUUUUUCGGCUGGCACUCCAAGAGACCUAUCUGCAUAUUUGUUUUUCAAAGACUGGCUAACAGCCACAGGAAUACCAUCCAUUGGGACUCAUGUACCGUUGUUGAUUCCUACAGAUGGUAGAAAGUAGAAUAUAUUACAUCCACAUGGAGGGCAAGCUUUCAAUAAAGGUGCUGGCUAUACGAUGGACAGUGCUCCUAAUAAAAGAAAUCUACUUCUUUUUAGAACCAUAGUUAAUCUUAUUGUAUUG